CAGCGACGCUGAUGCGUUGUUGGGUAGGGGAGCGUUCUGUAAGCCUGCGAAGGUGGCCUGUGAGGGUUGCUGGAGGUAUCAGAAGUGCGAAUGCUGACAUAAGUAACGAUAAAGCGGGUGAAAAGCCCGCUCGCCGGAAGACCAAGGGUUCCUGUCCAACGUUAAUCGGGGCAGGGUGAGUCGACCCCUAAGGCGAGGCCGAAAGGCGUAGUCGAUGGGAAACGGGUUAAUAUUCCCGUACUUGGUGUUACUGCGAAGGGGGGACGGAGAAGGCUAUGUUGGCCGGGCGACGGUUGUCCCGGUUUAAGCGUGUAGGUGUGUGUUCCAGGUAAAUCCGGUUCACUUUAACACUGAGGCGUGACGACGAGGCACUACGGUGCUGAAGCAACAAAUGCCCUGCUUCCAGGAAAAGCCUCUAAGCAUCAGGUAACAUCAAAUCGUACCCCAAACCGACACAGGUGGUCAGGUAGAGAAUACCAAGGCGCUUGAGAGAACUCGGGUGAAGGAACUAGGCAAAAUGGUGCCGUAACUUCGGGAGAAGGCACGCUGACACGUAGGUGAAGUGAUUUACUCAUGGAGCUGAAGUCAGUCGAAGAUACCAGCUGGCUGCAACUGUUUAUUAAAAACACAGCACUGUGCAAACACGAAAGUGGACGUAUACGGUGUGACGCCUGCCCGGUGCCGGAAGGUUAAUUGAUGGGGUCAGCGCAAGCGAAGCUCCUGAUCGAAGCCCCGGUAAACGGCGGCCGUAACUAUAACGGUCCUAAGGUAGCGAAAUUCCUUGUCGGGUAAGUUCCGACCUGCACGAAUGGCGUAAUGAUGGCCAGGCUGUCUCCACCCGAGACUCAGUGAAAUUGAACUCGCUGUGAAGAUGCAGUGUACCCGCGGCAAGACGGAAAGACCCCGUGAACCUUUACUAUAGCUUGACACUGAACAUUGAGCCUUGAUGUGUAGGAUAGGUGGGAGGCUUUGAAGUGUGGACGCCAGUCUGCAUGGAGCCGACCUUGAAAUACCACCCUUUAAUGUUUGAUGUUCUAACGUGGACCCGUGAUCCGGGUUGCGGACAGUGUCUGGUGGGUAGUUUGACUGGGGCGGUCUCCUCCUAAAGAGUAACGGAGGAGCACGAAGGUUGGCUAAUCCUGGUCGGACAUCAGGAGGUUAGUGCAAUGGCAUAAGCCAGCUUGACUGCGAGCGUGACGGCGCGAGCAGGUGCGAAAGCAGGUCAUAGUGAUCCGGUGGUUCUGAAUGGAAGGGCCAUCGCUCAACGGAUAAAAGGUACUCCGGGGAUAACAGGCUGAUACCGCCCAAGAGUUCAUAUCGACGGCGGUGUUUGGCACCUCGAUGUCGGCUCAUCACAUCCUGGGGCUGAAGUAGGUCCCAAGGGUAUGGCUGUUCGCCAUUUAAAGUGGUACGCGAGCUGGGUUUAGAACGUCGUGAGACAGUUCGGUCCCUAUCUGCCGUGGGCGCUGGAGAACUGAGGGGGGCUGCUCCUAGUACGAGAGGACCGGAGUGGACGCAUCACUGGUGUUCGGGUUGUCAUGCCAAUGGCACUGCCCGGUAGCUAAAUGCGGAAGAGAUAAGUGCUGAAAGCAUCUAAGCACGAAACUUGCCCCGAG
rnacentral:rRNA from 1 species